CACAGAGGCGGAGGCCACAACGGCCGGGACCAAGAGAGACACGCGACACGCCAGCUCGCCCGUGCUGCGCCCUGCGACCAGCUCGCCGCUCGCCGCUCGCCUUGUCCGGCUCUUCUGUGCCGUGCUCGGUGCUCGCCGCUCCGAGCCGCCGUUUCGAAUGCCGGCACCCAAGUCGCGCCUGCUGCUGCUCGUCGCGGCAAUAUGGAGCCUGGGCCUGCUCUGCCCAGCCGCCGGGGAAGCUGGAGGCGGCUCCUGCGAGCUCUCCGUCGCGCGCGGUGGCGCGCUCUACAACUUCAGCCUCGCGGCGCCCACGCCCGCGCACCGCCACGGCGUGCUCAGCGAAGAUGGGUUUUACAAGGUUGCAGUGAAUGAUUCAGUAAUCUGGUUCCAGCUGUGCGAUCAGAUGAUAUUCAACUUUGACCCACCCGUCUGUCUUCGCUGUGAGGACUGUGGUGGUCCAUUGAGGUGUGGCACCCAAUGCAGUGCACUUGUGUCACAUUACAUUCGAGGGUAUGAUGUUUGCACAACCAUUGGAAGGGCAUCUGAAUCUCGCAUCUCUCUAAUAGAUGAAAGUAAUCCUCAAAAGGGUGUCAUUGUCAAGAUGUCCUCGUCAAAGUGCUCCAUUUCAGUUUUUAUCUUCUGUGAUUCAGCUGUAGUCCAACUACCAGAUAAAUUUAGCCACUCUGGAAAUUGUGAUUACGCUACAGUACUUAGACACCCCUCUGGUUGUGCAAGAUCGGUUUCUUCUUCUGGAAAUGGCUGGGGAUGGUUAAGAACUUCGUUCAUAACAAUGUUGUGCCUUUUUGGAGGGUAUAUUUUGAUCGGUGCAAUUUAUAGAUAUUAUUUCCUUGGGAUUCGUUCUAUAGAGGCCAUCCCGAACAUGGAAUUUUGGAUCAGCUUGCCACAAAAAGUUAAGAGUGUGUUUGUUCCUUCAACAAGAAACCCAAGAAGUCGCAGCAGAGAUACCAGAGGUCCUUAUGCCCCUGUAAACAAUUGAGAAGUAGAAAAAAAUCCAAGAACAGUAUUGGAAGCCAUACAGUUAAAAGCAUAUGUGUAGGGUGGAAGCUAAACCUUUGAUCUAUGUCAAUAUGUCAGGUCGAGGGGGAAGCUUCUUACAUGUCCAAUAGUUGAUUCUCUUUUUUUUUUUUUCUGAGAACAUGCAGGAGAGGCAAUAGUUGAUGUUUCACUAUGUACUCAGAUGAAAUUAUUAAGAUUUGGUUCAGUGGCACCCUAAAUGUAUUGGCCUUUCACUUAUUCAGUUUUUUGAGACCUUGAAUUUAGGAACAUAAAGCCAUGAUCUGUUUCUCGAAGUUAAAUUGCUCUGAUCA